rnacentral:rRNA from 1 species
GUUGGGUAGGGGAGCGUUCUGUAAGCCUGUGAAGGUGUGUCGUGAGGCAUGCUGGAGGUAUCAGAAGUGCGAAUGCUGACAUAAGUAACGAUAAAGCGGGUGAAAAGCCCGCUCGCCGGAAGACCAAGGGUUCCUGUCCAACGUUAAUCGGGGCAGGGUGAGUCGACCCCUAAGGCGAGGCCGAAAGGCGUAGUCGAUGGGAAACGGGUUAAUAUUCCCGUACUUGGUGUUACUGCGAAGGGGGGACGGAGAAGGCUAUGUUGGCCGGGCGACGGUUGUCCCGGUUUAAGCGUGUAGGUGUGUGUUCCAGGUAAAUCCGGUUCACUUUAACACUGAGGCGUGAUGACGAGGCACUACGGUGCUGAAGCAACAAAUGCCCUGCUUCCAGGAAAAGCCUCUAAGCAUCAGGUAACAUCAAAUCGUACCCCAAACCGACACAGGUGGUCAGGUAGAGAAUACCAAGGCGCUUGAGAGAACUCGGGUGAAGGAACUAGGCAAAAUGGUGCCGUAACUUCGGGAGAAGGCACGCUGACACGUAGGUGAAGUGAUUUACUCACGGAGCUGAAGUCAGUCGAAGAUACCAGCUGGCUGCAACUGUUUAUUAAAAACACAGCACUGUGCAAACACGAAAGUGGACGUAUACGGUGUGACGCCUGCCCGGUGCCGGAAGGUUAAUUGAUGGGGUCAGCGCAAGCGAAGCUCCUGAUCGAAGCCCCGGUAAACGGCGGCCGUAACUAUAACGGUCCUAAGGUAGCGAAAUUCCUUGUCGGGUAAGUUCCGACCUGCACGAAUGGCGUAAUGAUGGCCAGGCUGUCUCCACCCGAGACUCAGUGAAAUUGAACUCGCUGUGAAGAUGCAGUGUACCCGCGGCAAGACGGAAAGACCCCGUGAACCUUUACUAUAGCUUGACACUGAACAUUGAGCCUUGAUGUGUAGGAUAGGUGGGAGGCUUUGAAGUGUGGACGCCAGUCUGCAUGGAGCCGACCUUGAAAUACCACCCUUUAAUGUUUGAUGUUCUAACGUGGACCCGUAAUCCGGGUUGCGGACAGUGUCUGGUGGGUAGUUUGACUGGGGCGGUCUCCUCCUAAAGAGUAACGGAGGAGCACGAAGGUUGGCUAAUCCUGGUCGGACAUCAGGAGGUUAGUGCAAUGGCAUAAGCCAGCUUGACUGCGAGCGUGACGGCGCGAGCAGGUGCGAAAGCAGGUCAUAGUGAUCCGGUGGUUCUGAAUGGAAGGGCCAUCGCUCAACGGAUAAAAGGUACUCCGGGGAUAACAGGCUGAUACCGCCCAAGAGUUCAUAUCGACGGCGGUGUUUGGCACCUCGAUGUCGGCUCAUCACAUCCUGGGGCUGAAGUAGGUCCCAAGGGUAUGGCUGUUCGCCAUUUAAAGUGGUACGCGAGCUGGGUUUAGAACGUCGUGAGACAGUUCGGUCCCUAUCUGCCGUGGGCGCUGGAGAACUGAGGGGGGCUGCUCCUAGUACGAGAGGACCGGAGUGGACGCAUCACUGGUGUUCGGGUUGUCAUGCCAAUGGCACUGCCCGGUAGCUAAAUGCGGAAGAGAUAAGUGCUGAAAGCAUCUAAGCACGAAACUUGCCCCGAGAUGAGUUCU